UUUGAUCAUAGUUGGCGUUUCUUAUUUAAUUGGUUCAUUCACAUAUUAUUCUACAUACAAUACCUCUCUUUCAAGACUUCGCGCACGUAGUUCAUUGGUAAAUUUAAUUUUGCAGAAAGCAAGUCCAUAAUUUUCAGAUAUAAUGAUAUAAAGCUGCAAAAGAUACUCGUAAUAUUUAAGAGCCAUCACUUCAAGAUAUCGUCUUUGUGAUUCUCUCUCUUUGUGAUUUGAUUCUCGCAUAACGUCAUCGGAAAAUAACCGGACAUCUAAAAACAACUUAUCUUGAUGACAUUUGCUAUUUUUAUGGCAAAUCCAAUAUAUUCCUGCCGACUUCGUCGCCGACGGUCGGGUUGAAAAAUUCAUAAGACCCGAUCGACCGCGCCGAGUGUUGUCGCCCGACUCUCGUCAGUGCGUCGCCUCGUUUCGCGUGCAGCAUUGUGUGCGGAACAAUGCACGGCUCCGGCGAUUAUAUGCCGCUUUGUGUCCGAUAGAUUCUUACGCUCUUACAUAUUUCAUGUCGAGCUCUCCGCUUUUCCCCGCGUCGUGCCAUUAAAAGUUUCUAUGACUGCCAAGUGGUUCGUUUCGCGGUUUCUUCCUCGUAUUCGCCCCGCAUCGUCAGAAUUAAUCAUCUCUAUCUUCUUCCCUCAAUCUGGGCUUUCUUUCAGACCAAUGGUUGCAGCUACUGAUAUUCGAAGACGGAGACGGAGCUACCUCUCAAUAUAUUUAGUUUUCAGAUAUUUUUAGUUUUUAAGUUGUAAAUAAAAAUUGAAUAAAUAAUGUUGGGACGCA